AAGUCGUAACAAGGUUUCCGUAGGUGAACCUGCGGAAGGAUCAUUAAAGAAUYRMCCCGUUUUUUGAAAUGGGUUCUAUUCCCAAACCGUGUAUACAUACCUUUGUUGCUUUGGCAGGCCGCCUUCUAGGCGUCGGCUCCGGCUGACUGCGCCUGCCAGAGGACCCAAACUCUUUUGUUUAGUGAUGUCUGAGUACUAUAUAAUAGUUAAAACUUUCAACAACGGAUCUCUUGGUUCUGGCAUCGAUGAAGAACGCAGCGAAAUGCGAUAAGUAAUGUGAAUUGCAGAAUUCAGUGAAUCAUCGAAUCUUUGAACGCACAUUGCGCCCCUUGGUAUUCCGAGGGGCAUGCCUGUUCGAGCGUCAUUAUAACCACUCAAGCCUCGGCUUGGUCUUGGGGUUCGCGGUUUCGCGGCCCUUAAAAUCAGUGGCGGUGCCGUCUGGCUCUAAGCGUAGUAAUUCUCUCGCUAUAGGGUCCAGGUGACCACCUGCCAGAACCCCCCAUUCUUUACGGUUGACCUCGGAUCAGGUAGGGAUACCCGCUGAACUUAA
rnacentral:rRNA from 1 species